AUCGUUUUGUAGUUCAUAAGCAUGAUGACUGGGUUUUCACACGCAUUCAUGAGAUGUGCCUUCCUUAAUCUUUGUUAUGACAUCUGCACAUUACCCAUCUGACA